UACAGGGGGGCAAGCGUUGUUCGGAAUUACUGGGCGUAAAGGGCUCGUAGGUGGCCAACUAAGUCAGACGUGAAAUCCCUCAGCUUAACUGGGGAACUGCGUCUGAUACUGGAUGGCUUGAGUUUGGGAGAGGGAUGCGGAAUUCCAGGUGUAGCGGUGAAAUGCGUAGAUAUCUGGAGGAAUACCGGUGGCGAAGGCGGCAUCCUGGACCGACAUUGACGCUGAAAACCGAAAGCUAGGGGAGCAAACGGG
rnacentral:rRNA from 1 species